UACGUAGGGUGCAAGCGUUGUCCGGAAUUAUUGGGCGUAAAGGGCUCGUAGGCGGUCUGUCACGUCGGGAGUGAAAACUCGGGGCUUAACCCCGAGCCUGCUUCCGAUACGGGCAGACUAGAGGUAUGCAGGGGAGAAUGGAAUUCCUGGUGUAGCGGUGAAAUGCGCAGAUAUCAGGAGGAACACCCGGUGGCGAAGGCGGUUCUCUGGGCAUUACCUGACGCUGAGGAGCGAAAGUGUGGGGAGCGAACAGG
rnacentral:rRNA from 1 species